rnacentral:pre_miRNA from 1 species
AGUGGGAUAACUGGGUCAAUUGGUGUUUUCAUUCUGAGGAAUCUCCAUACUGCUUUCCAGAGUGGCUGCACCAAUUUGCAGUCCCACCAGCAAU